rnacentral:lncRNA from 1 species
CAAAAAUGACAACCGCCCUAUCCCAAAAAGCGUAUGAAGAUGAUAUAACCAUACAUUGGGAAGAAGCUAAGGUCGUAAAACAGAUGCGAAAUCCAAUACAAGCUGUUUAUAGGGAAACACUCGAGAUGCUCACUCGCCGAAGCAAAGAAAGUCUACUCAAUGAGAACCCUACGACGAGGAUACCAGAAGCAUGGGAAUGCCUUCUUCGGAGACCACAAUGAACGAUGAAAAACGCUCGACCAAUGCCCAGCAACCUUAGAACAACGCAUCCCUACAUCGGGAGAAAAAAGUUGGAUCAGUGCCAAAGUCCUACCGAAACUCAGUGAACGCCUUCCAAUGCUAGACAUACGCUCGU